rnacentral:rRNA from 1 species
UACGUAGGGGGCAAGCGUUGUCCGGAAUCAUUGGGCGUAAAGAGCGUGUAGGCGGUUUGGUAAGUCGGCUGUGAAAGCCCAGGGCUCAACCCUGGGAUGCCGGUCGAUACUGCCGGACUAGAGUUCGGAAGAGGCGAGUGGAAUUCCCGGUGUAGCGGUGAAAUGCGCAGAUAUCGGGAGGAACACCUAUGGCGAAGGCAGCUCGCUGGGACGUUACUGACGCUGAGACGCGAAAGCGUGGGGAGCAAACAGG